UACGUAGGGUGCGAGCGUUAAUCGGAAUUACUGGGCGUAAAGUGUGCGCAGGCGGCCGCGCAAGUCGAGUGUGAAAGCCCCGGGCUUAACUUGGGAAUUGCGCUCGAAACUACGUGGCUGGAGUGUGGCAGAGGAAGGUGGAAUUCCGCGUGUAGCAGUGAAAUGCGUAGAUAUGCGGAGGAACACCGAUGGCGAAGGCAGUCCCCUGGGCCUGCACUGACACUCAUGCACGAAAGCGUGGGGAGCAAACAGG
rnacentral:rRNA from 1 species